UACGUAGGGUGCAAGCGUUAAUCGGAAUUACUGGGCGUAAAGCGUGCGCCAGGCGGUUAUGUAAGACAGAUGUGAAAUGCCCGGGCUUAACCUGGGAACUGCAUUUGUGACUGGCGGGCUAGAGUAUGGCAGAGGGGGGGUAGAAUUCCACGUGUAGCAGUGAAAUGCGUAGAGAUGUGGAGGAAUACCGAUGGCGAAGGCAGCCCCCUGGGAUAACACUGACGCUCAUGGCACGAAAGCGUGG
rnacentral:rRNA from 1 species